rnacentral:rRNA from 1 species
UUAGAGUUUGAUCCUGGCUCAGGACGAACGCUGGCGGCGUGCUUAACACAUGCAAGUCGAGCGAAGUGCUUUAGACUGAUCCCUUCGGGGUGACGUCUUUAGUAUCUUAGCGGCGGACGGGUGAGUAACGCGUGAGAAACCUGCCUUUCACAAAGGAAUAGCCUCGGGAAACUGGGAUUAAUACCUUAUGAUACCUUAACUCCACAUGGAGCCUAGGUUAAAGCGUAAAGCGGUGAAAGAUGGUCUCGCGUCCCAUUAGUUAGUUGGUGAGGUAAAGGCUCACCAAGACCAUGAUGGGUAACCGGCCUGAGAGGGUGAACGGUCACACUGGAACUGAGACACGGUCCAGACUCCUACGGGAGGCAGCAGUGGGGAAUAUUGCACAAUGGAGGAAACUCUGAUGCAGCGACGCCGCGUGAAUGAUGAAGGUCUUCGGAUCGUAAAAUUCUGUCCUAGGGGACGAUAAUGACGGUACCCUAGGAGGAAGCCCCGGCUAACUACGUGCCAGCAGCCGCGGUAAUACAUAGGGGGCAAGCGUUGUCCGGAUUUAUUGGGCGUAAAGGGUACGCAGGCGGUCCUUUAAGUCAGAUGUGAAAUCUUACGGCUCAACCGUAAUUAGCAUUUGAAACUGGAGGACUUGAGUUAAGGAGAGGAAAGUGGAAUUCCUAGUGUAGCGGUGAAAUGCGUAGAUAUUAGGAGGAAUACCAGUGGCGAAGGCGACUUUCUGGACUUAUACUGACGCUGAGGUACGAAAGCGUGGGGAGCAAACAGGAUUAGAUACCCUGGUAGUCCACGCUGUAAACGAUGAGUGCUAAGUGUCCGGGGUCAAACCUCCGUGCCCGAGUUAACACAUAAGUGCUCCCCCCUGGGAGUACCGUCCCAAGACUGAAACUCAAAGGAAUGGACGGGGAACC